rnacentral:rRNA from 1 species
GACGAACGCUGGCGGCAUGCCUAAUACAUGCAAGUCGAGCGAACGGAUGAAGUGCUUGCACUUCUGACGUUAGCGGCGAACGGGUGAGUAACACGUAAGGAAUCUACCUAUAAGCGGGGGAUAACAUUCGGAAACGGGUGCUAAUACCGCAUAAUAUCUUCUUCCGCAUGGAAGAAGAUUGAAAGACGGCUCUGCUGUCACUUAUAGAUGACCUUGCGGUGCAUUAGUUAGUUGGUGGGGUAAUGGCCUACCAAGACGAUGAUGCAUAGCCGACCUGAGAGGGUGAUCGGCCACAUUGGGACUGAGACACGGCCCAAACUCCUACGGGAGGCAGCAGUAGGGAACCUUCCGCAAUGGGCGAAAGCCUGACGGAGCAAUGCCGCGUGAGUGAAGAAGGCCUUCGGGUCGUAAAACUCUGUUAUAAGAGAAGAACAAAUUGUAGAGUAACUGCUACAGUCUUGACGGUAUCUUAUCAGAAAGCCACGGCUAACUACGUGCCAGCCGCCGCAGUAAAAC